CCUACGGGAGGCAGCAGUGAGGAAUAUUGGUCAAUGGACGCGAGUCUGAACCAGCCAAGUAGCGUGAAGGAUGACUGCCCUAUGGGUUGUAAACUUCUUUUAUACAGGAAUAAAACCAGGCACGUGUGCCUUUUUGCAUGUAUUUUAUGAAUAAGGAUCGGCUAACUCCGUGCCAGCAGCCGCGGUAAUACGGAGGAUCCGAGCGUUAUCCGGAUUUAUUGGGUUUAAAGGGUGCGUAGAUGGUUUUAUAAGUCAGUUGUGAAAGUUUGGGGCUCAACCGUGAAAUUGCAAUUGAUACUGGAGGUCUUGAGUGCAGUUGCGGUAGGCGGAAUGCGUGGUGUAGCGGUGAAAUGCUUAGAGAUCACGAAGAACACCGAUUGCGAAGGCAGCUUACUAAACUGUGACUGACAUUGAUGCUCGAAAGUGUGGGUAGCAAACAGGAUUAGAUACCCGUGUAGUC
rnacentral:rRNA from 1 species